rnacentral:sRNA from 1 species
GCCAGACGUGGUGGCACACACCUGUAAUCCCAGCAACUAGGGAGGCUGAGGCAGGAGGAUUGCAAGUUCAAAGCCAACCUCAGCAACUUAGCAAGGCCUUAAGCAAUUUAGCAAGAUCCUGUCUCAA